AUGUUCAGAUGUCAGAUUGUCCUCCUUCAAAAAUAAAAAUAACUCUUUUUAAACCAAUAAGUACAUAAAUUCAAGAGAAUACGUCUUCAUCGACUACUCCAGAAAGUACUCAUGAAAUAUCAUCCAUAAUCUAUACAUCUCCAUUUAAGGUCACACCACAAGACAACUACCAAUCAUUAAUCCCUGUUGUGCAAGAAGAAAUAGUGUUACAAGGACAAUCUUGGAACCAUUUAAACGCAGAUGACAACGGAUUUCCUUUGAAUUUAUUUAGUAUGGCACUUGACAAUGAAACGCUC